CGACCGGCGCACGGUGAGUAACGCGUAUCCAACCUGCCCACCACUUGGGAUAACCUUGCGAAAGUAAGACUAAUACCCAAUGAUAUCUCUAGAAGACAUCUGAAAGAGAUUAAAGAUUUAUCGUGAUGGAUGGGGAUGCGUCUGAUUAGCUUGUUGGCGGGGUAACGGCCCACCAAGGCAACGAUCAGUAGGGGUUCUGAGAGGAAGGUCCCCCACAUUGGACUGAGACACGGUCCAA
rnacentral:rRNA from 1 species